CCUACGGGCGGCAGCAGUGAGGAAUAUUGGUCAAUGGACGAGAGUCUGAACCAGCCAAGUAGCGUGAAGGAUGACUGCCCUAUGGGUUGUAAACUUCUUUUAUAUGGGAAUAAAACGUUCCACGUGUGGGAUUUUGUAUGUACCAUAUGAAUAAGGAUCGGCUAACUCCGUGCCAGCAGCCGCGGUAAUACGGAGGAUCCGAGCGUUAUCCGGAUUUAUUGGGUUUAAAGGGAGCGUAGGUGGAUUGUUAAGUCAGUUGUGAAAGUUUGCGGCUCAACCGUAAAAUUGCAGUUGAAACUGGCAGUCUUGAGUACAGUAGAGGUGGGCGGAAUUCGUGGUGUAGCGGUGAAAUGCUUAGAUAUCACGAAGAACUCCGAUUGCGAAGGCAGUUCACUGGACUGCAACUGACACUGAGGCUCGAAAGUGUGGAUAUCAAACAGGAUUAGAUACCCGAGUAGUC
rnacentral:rRNA from 1 species